rnacentral:rRNA from 1 species
UACGUAGGGGGCUAGCGUUGUCCGGAUUUAUUGGGCGUAAAGAGCGUGUAGGCGGCCAGGUAGGUCGGUUGUGAAAACUGGAGGCUCAACCUUCAGAGGUCGACCGAAACCAUCUGGCUAGAGUCCGGAAGAGGCGAGUGGAAUUCCUGGUGUAGCGGUGGAAUGCGCAGAUAUCAGGAGGAACACCAACGGCGAAGGCAGCUCGCUGGGACGGUACUGACGCUGAGGCGCGAAAGCGUGGGGAGCGAACAGG